rnacentral:tRNA from 1 species
AAAGGGAGACCUAAUUCGGGUAUAAGACGAAAAAAAAGUAGUCCCAACCAAGAAUCAAUCCCAAAAGGUCGGAGCGAGGCGAAAUUGGCUUUCAAACUAGGUUCUGGGUUCACACAAGACCUGAAUCAGGAACAAGGGCUAUUAGCUCAGGUGGUUAGAGCGCACCCCUGAUAAGGGUGAGGUCCCUGGUUCGAGUCCAGGAUGGCCCACCUGCACAGGUGGCAAAAACAAAAAAGCUCCGAAUCAGCACCUUAUCUUACUUAUAUAGUAAGAGAGAAUGCUGGCUCUGAGUUCAGAGUCCAGAGGAACCUUGAAAACUGCAUAGAGCUAGGUGAAAAAGCCAAAAAAGAAGACCGCAAG